AACAUUUAUUGCUACUAAAUUGUAAUCACAAUAAAAUCUUACGCUCGAGAUCAUAAAUGUUUAUAAAAAAUACUUUUUCUCCUUGGCAAAACUGAAGAGUUCAUAUAAAGCUUUGUAUAUAUCUAUAUUACACUAAAAAUAAAUAAAAAUAUAAAUAAGGUACAAAUGACUCGAAUCGUAUGGAUAAGGCAAAAUUUAUAUACAGCCUCAUGUCAAGUCUCCGAAAUUAUUGAAGAUCAAUAAUAUGUACACUCCUGGUCCAAAAAAUCCAGAAAAUUAAUUUUCUAUGUUUUUUUUUUUAAUUUAGUCAAUGUAUAGUAGGUACACUCACCGGCACAAUUAACCGCCCACCUUGUAUUUCUUUCAAUUUGCAGAAAUGAUCAAACUUGGACCAUAUUAUGAAAGAUGCGGCGAAGGUGGCAAAGUGUUUAAUGGGGGGUAAGGUGGUUGCGAAGCUGGAUAACCCCACGGAGCUGAGGUAGCUUGUUU
rnacentral:lncRNA from 1 species